rnacentral:lncRNA from 1 species
UAAUUUUCGUUUACAAUAAUUUUCUUUCUUAAUUUUCACUUUUAUUCCUCCGUUUCUAUAAUUUCCUAUUUCUAUCUCCUAUAAAUGCUCUGACUAGUUUCUAAAGUCCCCUCGUAUUCUACUCAGUGACUAUAUCUGCUUCGGCGCUGUCACAUGGCGUUGAAAGCCCCACCAAAAAGAGAGGCUUCUUCUAGGAUGAAUACUCGACACAAAUUCUUUUUCCAAUUCCUUCUCCAUAGAGAAAAUACAAUAUCCUAAGUUAGAAUUAUUUCGUGGCCAGGUCCUCUUGCCAGCCUGGCCAUUUGGGAUCACUAAGAACCGUUCUCACUUCCCUUUAUGGCAACCUUCGAAACCAAGGCGUGACACCAGCUAAAGACCACCCUAGGGUGCUGCAGCAGUCAAGGAAAAGCCGGCUGAGAUAAAGACCAUCACCUAAGAACAGACCAGGAGAAGUCGGCCGAACAACCGUCGACUAGCGUCCACAACAACGGGAACUCCUGGGAAAGUUCAGUAAAGUCCAUAGUUUCUUUCUUGGCUUGAGCAUCGAUCCCUGAUUGUAAUUUAUAAGCUGUCAAUUAUUAAUUUGGAUACAAUGACAUGAUGAAUUAUAUAAGCAAUAAGAUGUAAUUAAAUACCUAAUAGUUGAAUAAAGAAUAUGUGUUGAAAACUUUUUGUUCCGUCAAUAAUUCCUAAUUUCUUCAUAUUAAUUAGUUUAUGUUGAACAACACCCCUGAGGGGUUUCAGCUGAAGAAAGGUGAGCUAGCCGUUUCAGUAGAAAAUUUUUAUUUAUCUUCUAGUAUUUGGAGGUGUCCACUAGGAUGUUAAAAACGAAAACCUCGUAAAUAAUCAUGAACACAGCAUAACUAUCUAUGAAAAACACGUAUAUCAAGAUAUACGAGGUUAUCAUAGUUACUUGAACAACGUCUAUAUGUACUGCAAGGAUAAUAAUUACGAGUUUUUCAUAGUUAAUAUUUGUGUCUUUAUUUUAAAAGCAAGAUUUGAACCAUAUAAUAACAAAAUAUUAUCUACAAUAGACCUUUUUACAGCGUCUAAUAAACGCUAGAGGUCUAAGCGCAGCUGAAAUUGACAACGGACCAUAUAACAAUAUUUUUUCUGUAAUAUACCUCUUUUUACGGUACCUAAUAAACCCUAGAUAUUUAAACGCAUUUAUUGUAACUAAAUAUUAACCGACCAGAAAGAAAUAAAAUUUAAUUUGGAUGGUUCAGAUGUUGACAAAAUAAUUGUAUUCUUCAAACACAACCGGAAACUCAAUAUAAUACAGUAAUAUAAAACCAUCACCAAUUCGAUAUAAUUUAAUACCUAAGCUAAAUCUCCGACCCUAUAAUAACAUCCUUUUCACAAUAAUCUCAGAGAGAGAUAGAGAGAGAGAGAGACAUACUUUAUUGAUACAAUGUACCAAAAGGCCAUCGACCGAAGUCUUUCAGCCAAUAAUCCCAUUUUACAAUAAUUGGAACAUUUUUAAAACGUAAGCUUUAUCUGUGUCGAUAGUACCUGAUUAAGAAUACGGGAGCUGUGUCAGUUGACUUGUGUUCGUUCAGAAAUUAGAUUAAUUUAUAGCCUGAUUCAGGAGAGAGUAAUAAUAUAUGAAGGUAUGUUACUUGUUACCAGAAAAAUCUAUGUGCUCUAAUCUAAUAUAAUUGUCUUAUAGGUAAUAACACAGAUUAACCCAACAUUAUGUUGGGUUAAUCUGUGGUAAUAAUGUCAAGGGGAAGCUUAAUGUUAAACCUUGCCCUCAAAGGGAAAACAGUUAAUGCAGAUCGUGUUCGUAGCAGUUCUAAAUACAUUCCAGUUAACAAAAAGUUUACUCAAGACGAAGAAAAUCGAUCCUAUUAUGUAGGGCUAAAAAAA